rnacentral:rRNA from 1 species
AUGGCCCGACUCCUGGAGAUGGGGGACCUCGUCGUCGUCUGCCCCGAGGGCACCACCUGCCGCGAGCCGUACCUGCUCCGGUUCAGUCCACUUUUCGCGGAGCUCAGCGACGACGUGGUAGGUGUCGCCGUCGAGACGGCCAUGUUCUACCCCACCACGGCGGGGGGGCUCAAGUGCCUCGAUCCGUUCUUCUACAUGGUCAACCCGAGGAUGUGCUACACGGUGCAGUUCCUGGAGCAGGUGCGCACGGCGGUGGUCAGGGAGGGGAAGGUGCCGAGCGCCGACAUGGCCAAUCUCGUGCAGAAGAAGAUUGGAGAUGCGCUCGGAUACAGCUGCACUAUGCUCACCAGGAAGGACAAGUACCUCAUGCUGGCCGGCAACGACGGCGUCGUCCGCAAAGUAGACGGCAAGUGCUCGUCUCCUCCAGCGGGGAGGACGAACAACUGA